AACGAACGCUGGCGGCAGGCCUAACACAUGCAAGUCGAGCGAGAUCUUCGGGUCUAGCGGCGGACGGGUGAGUAACGCGUGGGAAUAUGCCUCUUGGUACGGAAUAGCCUCGGGAAACUGGGAGUAAUACCGUAUGUGCCCUUUGGGGGAAAGAUUUAUCGCCAAGAGAUUAGCCCGCGUUGGAUUAGGUAGUUGGUGGGGUAAUGGCCUACCAAGCCGACGAUCCAUAGCUGGUUUGAGAGGAUGAUCAGCCACACUGGGACUGAGACACGGCCCAGACUCCUACGGGAGGCAGCAGUGGGGAAUCUUAGACAAUGGGGGCAACCCUGAUCUAGCCAUGCCGCGUGAAUGAUGAAGGCCUUAGGGUUGUAAAGCUCUUUCAGCUGGGAAGAUAAUGACGGUACCAGCAGAAGAAGCCCCGGCUAACUCCGUG
rnacentral:rRNA from 1 species